rnacentral:lncRNA from 1 species
CAGAAAGAUUAAAGCUCUCCCUGCUGAAAUCUCCUUUCCCUCCAGCAGGAAACCAGUGUAGUUAUGUUGUUUGUACUUGCCAGGAUACACUUCCAUUUCAUAUUUGCAAGUACACAUAAAGGUAUCCUUCAUCAGCAGCACAGUGCUUCCUUUCCUCUGAAUCUGCCAUCAGCUCAGGCAGAUUUCUAAGCAGCAAAUCAGCCUUUGCCAGAACACUGCAGGACACCAGUGCAGCGCCCAGCCUGCGACCAUGAGAGAAACCCCAGCCACAUCUCCAGCACACAAGAACUUCAAAAUGCCUAAGCCGCAGCAGUCAAGCAUUCCUAGAGGACCUUCUCCAUCAGGAUCUUGCUUCAAGUGCCAGAAAUCUGGCCACUGGGCCAAGGAAUGCCCACAGCCCGGGAUUCCUCCUAAGCUGUGUCCCAUCUGUGUGGGACCCCACUGAAAAUCAGACUGUCCAGCUCACCUGGCAGCCACUCCCAGAGCCCCUGGAACUCUGGCCCAAGGCUCUCUGAUUGACUUCUUCCCAGAUCUUCUGGGCUUAGUGGCUGAAGACUGACACUGCCCGAUCACCUGAGAAGCCUCCUGGACCAUCACAGAUGCUUUAGGUAACUCUUACAGUAGAGGGCUCU